CCAAUAGCGUAUAUUAAAGUUGUUGCAGUUAAAAAGCUCGUAGUUGAAUUUCGGGAUCAGUACGCUGGUCGUGCCUCCGGUAUGUACUGGUGUCACUGAUUCCUCCCUUCUGAAGAACCAUCAUGCCAUUAAGUUGGUGUGGUGGGGGAUCAGGACUGGUACUUUGAAAAAAUUAGAGUGUUUAAAGCAGGCUCGCGCUUGAAUACAUUAGCAUGGAAUAAUGAAAUAGGACGUUUAUCCUAUUUUGUUGGUUUCUAGGAUUGACGUAAUGAUUAAUAGGGAUAGUUGGGGGCAUUAGUAUUCAAUUGUCAGAGGUGAAAUUCUUGGAUUUAUUGAAGACUAACUACUGCGAAAGCAUUUGCCAAGGAUGUUUUCAUUAAUCAAGAACGAAAGUUAGGGGAUCGAAGACGAUCAGAUACCGUCGUAGUCUUAACCAUAAACUAUGCCGACUAGGGAUCGGAUGAUGUUAAUUUUUUAAUGACUCAUUCGGCGCCUUACG
rnacentral:rRNA from 1 species